AAUCGAUCGCCCGACGCAAGAAGAAGAAACAUGCGGCGGUCGA
rnacentral:ribozyme from 1 species